rnacentral:rRNA from 1 species
AACGAACGCUGGCGGCAUGCCUAACACAUGCAAGUCGAACGGGAUCCUAGCUUGCUAGGUGAGAGUGGCGGACGGGUGAGUAACACGUGGGAAUCUGCCUUUUGGUUCGGGAUAACCGCGGGAAACUGCGGCUAAUACCGAAUGCCCUCGAGAGAGGAAAGAUUUAUCGCCAGAAGAGGAGCCCGCGUCCGAUUAGGUAGUUGGUGGGGUAAAGGCCUACCAAGCCGACGAUCGGUAGCUGGUCUGAGAGGAUGAUCAGCCACACUGGGACUGAGAUACGGCCCAGACUCCUACGGGAGGCAGCAGUGGGGAAUAUUGGACAAUGGGGCGAACCCUGAUCCAGCAAUGCCGCGUGAGUGAUGAAGGCCUUAGGGUUGUAAAGCUCUUUUGCCAGGGAAGAUGAUGACUGUACCUGGAGAAUAAGCCCCCGGCUAACUUCGUGCCAGCAGCCGCGGUAAU